AUGCCCGAGGUGAUGGAGCGACGGCGACGGCAGCUGUGCGUGCGUGCGGUGCCGACGAGAGGCGAUGCGGGGGGUGCUGCGAGCGUGGGCAGCGAGCUCUGUGGCAACGUGUUGUUUUUUGCUGGAACGGGACUUUUUUGUUGCUGGAACCUCCUGUUCUUUUUGCUACAAUCAAUUUUUGUUGGAUCUGAUGUUUGUGGGAUUUAUGCUGGAACCGGCCUAAAUUGUUGCUGGAACCGGCUGUUUCUUUUGCUACAGUCAAAUUUGUUCGAGUUUAUGAUUUGUGGGAAUUUUGCUGGAACCAAAGUAAUUUGUUGCUGA
rnacentral:rRNA from 1 species